UGGGGAAUUUUACGCAAUGGGGGAAACCCUGACGUAGCGACACCGCGUGAGCGAAGAAGCCUUUUGGGGUGUAAAGCUCUGUCAGCUGGAACGAACACAAUGACGGUACCAGCAGAGGAAGCAUCGGCUAACUACGUGCCAGCAGCCGCGGUAAGACGUAGGAUGCAAGCGUUGUCCGGAUUCAUUGGGCGUAAAGAGUUCGUAGGUGGUCUGUUAAGUUUGGUGUUAAAGAGCGGGGCCCAACCCCGAUAGUGCACUGAAUACUGGCAGACUUGAGUGCGGUAGAGGUAAGUGGAAUUCCAAGUGUAGCGGUGAAAUGCAUAGAUAUUAGGAAGAACACCAGUGGCGAAGGCGACUCUCUGGACUGUAACUGACGCUGAGGCUCGAAAGCGUGGGGAGCAAAC
rnacentral:rRNA from 1 species